GCCGGUUUGGCGCAGUGGCAACGCGUCGCACUUGUAUGCUCAAUCAAAUGCGAAGAUCACUGGUUCAAUUCCAGUAAUCGGCA